AUGCCCAAGAAGGUCAGCUCGGUUGAGGGGUCGGCAAAGGAGAAGCCCAAGAAGAGAUCAGACCGGCGAGGGCCAGCCGAAGGGCUCCAGCACCAGCAGCCAGAUACCGAUGCCGUGCUGAAUGGGAAAGGCCUGGGUACCGGCACCCUUUACCUCUCCGAGAGCCGCCUGUCUUGGUUAGAUGGUUCCGGAUUAGGAUUCUCACUGGAACACCCCACCAUUAGUUUACAUGCUGUAUCCAGGGACCUAAAUGCCUAUCCACGAGAGCAUUUGUAUAUUAUGGUGAAUGCUAAAUUUGGAGAAGAAAUAAAAGAAUCUCUGGAUGAUGGUGAAGAGGAAGACAGUGAUGAUGAUGUUGAACCUAUUUCUGAAUUUAGAUUUGUGCCUAGUGAUAAUCAGCAUUGGAAGCGAUGUUCAUGGCCAUGUGUAAGUGACAGGCCUUGCACCCAAAUCCUGAGGAUGAAGAUUCAGAUGAUUACGAUGGUGAGGAGUACGAUGUGGAAGCACAAGAACAAGGACAAGCGGAUAUCCCCACAUUUUAUACCUAUGAAGAAGGACUAUCCCAUUUACCAGCAGAAGGGCAAGUCACACUAGAGAUUGGAAGGCACGCUCUCCCAGUCUGUGAGCAGCCAGUAUAACAUGGCUGCGGUAUGCACAGAAGAUUCCGUGAGAGACUAUGAAGAUGGCAUGGAAGUAGAUACAACACCAACAGCUGCAGGACAGUUUGAGGAUGCACAUGUUGAUCACUGAAAGUCAUUUAUAUUGCUUUAAGAUUCUGUUCAUUACUGUAGGAGAGAACUUGGUGCCUUUUCCUUCUGAAGAGAGGUUGAUGAAUGUCUUUUUCCUUCU